AUGUGGGGACCAUUCCAUGGUUUCUGCGUCGCAGCUAACGCAUUAAGCGCCCCGCCUGGGGAGUACGGUCGCAAGACUAAAACUCAAAGGAAUUGACGGGGGCCCGCACAAGCAGCGGAGCAUGCGGCUUAAUUCGAUGCAACGCGAAGAACCUUACCUAGGCUUGACAUAUAGAGAAAUCCCACAGAGAUGUGGAGUCCGUAAGGGCUCUAUACAGGUGGUGCAUGGUUGUCGUCAGCUCGUGUCGUGAGAUGUUGGGUUAAGUCCCGCAACGAGCGCAACCCUCGUUCUAUGUUGCCAGCGCGUAACGGCGGGGACUCAUAGGAGACUGCCGGGGUCAACUCGGAGGAAGGUGGGGAUGACGUCAAAUCAUCACGCCCCUUAUGCAUAGGGCUGCACGCAUGCUACAAUGGCCGAUACAAAGGGCUGCGAUACCGCAAGGUGGAGCGAAUCCCAUAAAGUCGGUCUCAGUUCGGAUUGGGGUCUGCAACUCGACCCCAUGAAGUUGGAGUUGCUAGUAAUCGCAGAUCAGCAACGCUGCGGUGAAUACGUUCCCGGGCAUUGUACACACCGCCCGUCACGUCACGA
rnacentral:rRNA from 1 species